rnacentral:misc_RNA from 1 species
GAAGGAAGAUUCGGAAAGGAAGGAUGAGGAUUCCAAGAGGAACCACUGUGAUCGAGAAAGGGAGCGUGAUAAGGAGAGAAAUGGAGAGAGGCAUCGGGACAGAGAGAAGAGGGACCGUGAAAGCCGUUGUUCUGAAAGAGAGAAGAGUACUGAUUCUGAUAACAAGUUUGAGAGAGAGCGGGACAGGGACAAGGAAAAGCAUAGGGACAGGGACAAGGAUAAAAGGUGCAGAGAUAGUGAAAGAGAAAGACCCAAGGAUAGGAAAAGAGAUAGAGACAGGGAAGAUCGGGACCGAGAAAGGGAGGAGAAAAGGGAGAGG